AUUGAACGCUGGCGGCAGGCCUAACACAUGCAAGUCGAACGGUAACAGGAAGCAGCUUGCUGCUUUGCUGACGAGUGGCGGACGGGUGAGUAAUGUCUGGGAAACUGCCCGAUGGAGGGGGAUAACUACUGGAAACGGUAGCUAAUACCGCAUAACGUCGCAAGACCAAAGAGGGGGACCUUAGGGCCUCUUGCCAUCGGAUGUGCCCAGAUGGGAUUAGCUAGUAGGUGGGGUAACGGCUCACCUAGGCGACGAUCCCUAGCUGGUCUGAGAGGAUGACCAGCCACACUGGAACUGAGACACGGUCCAGACUCCUACGGGAGGCAGCAGUGGGGAAUAUUGCACAAUGGGCGCAAGCCUGAUGCGGCCAUGCCGCGUGUAUGAAGAAGGCCUUCGGGUUGUAAAGUACUUUCAGCGGGGAGGAAGGGAGUAAAGUUAAUACCUUUGCUCAUUGACGUUACCCGCAGAAGAAGCACCGGCUAACUCCGUG
rnacentral:rRNA from 1 species